GUGCUCGCUUUGGCAGCACAUAAGCUAAAAUUGGAACAAUACAGAGAAGAUUAGCAUGGACCCUGUGCAAAGGUGACACACAGAUUUGUGACGCAUUCCAUGUUUAA
ensembl:snRNA U6 U6 spliceosomal RNA